GGCCCGGUAGCGGAUGGAUGGUUCCGCGCCUGCACUCCAUGUCUGGGCUCACGUGUUUGCGUUUCCGCAGGACCGCUUGUUCGACUCGAGCCCGGGCCA